AUUUUUAAUGUUUACUUUUAAGAGAGACAGAGAGAAAGUAUGAGGAGUGGAGCAGAGAGAGAGGGAGACAGGCCCCAAAGUAGCCCCCAGGCUCCGAGCUGUCAGCACAGAGCCCAAAGCGGGGCUCAAACUCACGAACCAUCCGAUCACGACCGGAGCUGAAGCUGGACGCUUAACCAACUGAACCACUCAGGGGCCCCAACACAAUCGUUUUAUUUUGUUAAGCACUUUCUUCCCAUAGUUCGUUGACCUUUUUCUCCCCUUCAUAGGAUCUCAGAGGUCGUACUACUCCUGAUACGUCACUCGUCUCCAGGGAACAAAACAAAAAGAAGAACAAAGAACGAAGCUUACAGGCACACGCGAUUGCUAGGGGAAGCUGUGCAGCUGCCAAGGAGUGGAGAAGGCGAGCAGAUUGGACCCCAUGCCUGGGCCUGCCCUCUUUCCACGACAGAGGUGAGGGAGGAGUGUUCAUCAGUUGUGUCUGUAGUUGAAAAUGAAAUAAAGAAAGUUUCACAACACAACAUGCA
rnacentral:lncRNA from 1 species